UGGUUGUGAUGAUGAUGAUGAUGAUGAUUAAUAUUAUUAUUAUUGAUAAUCACCAUCACAAACAUCCUCAUGAUCAUCAUCAUCAUCAUCAUCAUCA
rnacentral:miRNA from 1 species